CGACAGCGUUUCACAGCUUUCUCCGGUUUUAAUUGUCUUCCUUAUCCGGACAAGCCUACCUUCGGAGAGGAGGAGGAGGAGGAGGAGAGAGGGAGAGAGAGAGAGGGAGAGAGAGAGAGAGAGAGAGAAAGAGGGGAGACCUCGGCCACUUUCAGCGCUGCCCUCCCAUUAUUCCUCCGCUAUUGGUCGGAGACGCGAUCAGGACACGCCCACUUCUAACUGCGAUUGGGACACAGCCGCGGCGGGGUUAUGCUAGGCUAACGCUGUGUGCUAAAAGACAGGAUCCGACACAAACCACUUUACCCCAGUCACAGAGAAAUCACAGAGAGCCUGGUUUACGACAGACCUGAUGACCCCCUGCAGUUUAUGUUAGAGCAGUUGCAGAAGAAGAUCCGAGCGCGUGACGAGGCGAACGAAGCUGCAAAAGCUGAAUAGUUUUCUCCGAAAUGGG
ensembl:lncRNA